rnacentral:rRNA from 1 species
UCUUCGUGGGGUGACUGCGUACCUUUUGUAUAAUGGGUCAGCGACUUAUAUUCAGUGGCAAGGUUAACCAUUUAGGGGAGCCGUAGGGAAACCGAGUCUUAACUGGGCGUUCAGUCUCUGGAUAUAGACCCGAAACCGAGUGAUCUAGCCAUGGGCAGGUUGAAGGUUGAGUAACAUCAACUGGAGGACCGAACCGACUAAUGUUGAAAAAUUAGCGGAUGACUUGUGGCUAGGGGUGAAAGGCCAAUCA